AUUUUGGAGAAGGAAUUAAAAAUCAGCGCCUUGAUGAAAGAGAAGGAAGCCAAACUUCACACUAUUAGUCUGAUCUGCGUCCAGUCCCGAAACCAGUACUCCAAACAGCGGAUUUGGCAGGACUUCAUCAGUGGCCUUCAGGAAAUGAAGAGGAAGGCUGCGCUGGCCGACUGUGAGGAAGAUGAGUACGAAGAGGAAAUGGAGGACGAAGAGCUAA